rnacentral:rRNA from 1 species
CAGUAGCCGCGGUAAUACGUAGGGUGCGAGCGUUAAUCGGAAUUACUGGGCGUAAAGCGUGCGCAGGCGGUUGUGUAAGACAGGAGUGAAAUCCCCGGGCUUAACCUGGGAACUGCGCUUGUGACUGCACAGCUAGAGUAUGGCAGAGGGGGGUGGAAUUCCACGUGUAGCAGUGAAAUGCGUAGAGAUGUGGAGGAACACCGAUGGCGAAGGCAGCCCCCUGGGCCAAUACUGACGCUCAUGCACGAAAGCGUGGGGAGCAAACAGGAUUAGAUACCCCAGUAGUCCCUGUCUCUUAUAC